GACGAACGCUGGCGGCGUGCCUAAUACAUGCAAGUCGAACGCAGGGGGGACGGGUGAGUAACACGUGGGUAACCUCCCAUCAGAGGGGAGAACACUUGGAAACAGGUGCUAAACCGAUACUGAUUGAUGGACCCGCGGGGCAUUAGCUAGUUGGUGGGGUAACGGCUCACCAAGGCCACGAUGCAUACCUGGUCUGAGAGGGUGAUCGGCCACACUGGGACUGAGACACGGUCCAGACUCCUACGGGAGGCAGCAGUAGGGAAUAUUCGGCAAUGGACGAAAGCCUGACCGAGCCAUGCCGCGUGAGUGAAGAAGGUUUUCGGAUCGUAAAGCUCUGUUGUUAGAGAAGCGUUAUCUAACGAGAAAGCAACGGCUAACUACGUGCCAGCAGCCGCGGUAAUAC
rnacentral:rRNA from 1 species